AUUCUUCUAGCGACCGGUUUUCUCCGUGAUCUGCAGAGCUUUUGCAUACUUCUGAGAUCAUCGUGAAAGCCAGUUGCUUAAAAGAA
rnacentral:pre_miRNA from 1 species